ACCCCCGCGAGGAUGCCCUCAACUUCUCCACCCGAGAAUGAGGAGCUGGCAUCAGGCACGCUCCGCAGCCCAAGACGCCUUGCUAAGCCACACCCCCAAGGGAACUUCAGCAGUAAUAAAUCUUAAGCCAUAAGCGAAAGCUUGACUUAGUUAAGGUUAAUCCAAGGGCCGGUAAAACUCGUGCCAGCCACCGCGGUUAUACGAGAGGCCCAAGUUAACAGACACCGGCGUAAAGCGUGGUCAAGGACACAUUUAACUAAAGUCGAACAUCCCCCUGGCUGUUAUACGCACUCGAAGGAAUGAAGCCCCUCCACGAAAGUGACUCUACAACUACCUGACCCCACGACAACUAAGAAACAAACUGGGAUUAGAUACCCCACUAUGCUUAGUCGUAAACAUUGAUAUUUAAGAUACAAAUAAUAUCCGCCAGGGUACUACAAGCGCCAGCUCAAAACCCAAAGGACUUGGCGGUAUUUCAGACCCACCUAGAGGAGCCUGUUCUAGAACCGAUAACCCCCGUUCAACCUCACCACCCCUUGUCAACCCCGCCUAUAUACCACCGUCGCCAGCUUACCCUGUGAAGGACCAAUAGUAAGCAAAAUGGGCACAGCCCAGAACGUCAGGUCGAGGUGUAGCGUAUGAGGUGGAAAGAAAUGGGCUACAUUUCCUAAACUAGGAUACCACAGACGGCGCUAUGAAACCUAGCACCCAAAGGUGGAUUUAGCAGUAAGAAGGAAAAAGAGUGUUCUUCUGAAGCCGGCUCUGAAAUGCGUACACACCGCCCGUCACUCUCCCCAAGUUCAACACACAACUACCUAAAAAAUAACUGGAACCAAGGGGAGGCAAGUCGUAACAUGGUAAGUGUACUGGAAGGUGCACUUGGAAAAAC
rnacentral:ncRNA from 1 species